UACGUAGGGGCCGAGCGUUGUCCGGAGUACUGGGCGUAAGCGCGCGCAGGCGGCUCGUCAAGCCUGACGUGAAAGCCCCCGGCUCAACCGGGGAGGGUCGUCGGGGACUGGCGGGCUUGAGGUCGGCAGGGGUUGGUGGAAUUCCCGGUGUAGUGGUGAAAUGCGUAGAUAUCGGGAGGAACACCAGUGGCGAAGGCGACUUCCUGGCCUGUUCUUGACGCUGAGGCGCGAAAGCUAGGGUAGCAAACGGG
rnacentral:rRNA from 1 species